rnacentral:rRNA from 1 species
AACGAACGCUGGCGGCGUGGAUAAGACAUGCAAGUCGAACGGGACAGGUAGCAAUAUCUGUCUAGUGGCGAACGGGUGCGUAACACGUGGGCAACAUGCCUGGAAGAGCGGGAUAGCCCGGGGAAACUCGGAUUAAUACCGCAUGUGACAACGGGGCGGCUUCGCCCUGUUUUCAAAGGUGGGGACCGCAAGGCCUGCCGCUACCAGAUUGGCCCGCGUCCUAUCAGCUAGUUGGCGGGGUAACGGCCCACCAAGGCGACGACGGGUAGCUGGUCUGAGAGGACGACCAGCCACACUGGAACUGAGACACGGUCCAGACACCUACGGGUGGCAGCAGUCGAGAAUCUUUCACAAUGGGGGAAACCCUGAUGGAGCGACGCCGCGUGGAGGAUGACGGUCUUCGGAUUGUAAACUCCUGUCAUGAAAGAACAAGCGAUGCGGGUGAACAGCCUGCAAAGUUGAUAGUAUUUCAAGAGGAAGGGACGGCUAACUUCGUGCCAGCCGCCGCCGUAACAC